rnacentral:rRNA from 1 species
AGUGAACGCUGGCGGUAGGCCUAACACAUGCAAGUCGAACGGCAGCACAGUAAGAGCUUGCUCUUACGGGUGGCGAGUGGCGGACGGGUGAGGAAUACAUCGGAAUCUACUUUUUCGUGGGGGAUAACGUAGGUAAACUUACGCUAAUACCGCAUACGACCUACGGUUGAAAGCAGGGGAUCUUCGCACCUUGCGCGAUUGAAUGAGCCGAUGUCGGAUUAGCUAGUUGGCGGGGUAAAGGCCCACCAAGGCGACGAUCCGUAGCUGGUCUGAGAGGAUGAUCGGCCACACUGGAACUGAGACACGGUCCAGACGCCUACGGGAGGCAGCAGUGGGGAAUAUUGGACAAUGGGCGCAAGCCUGAUACAGCCAUACCGCGUGGGUGAAGAAGGCCUUCGGGUUGUAAAGCCCUUUUGUUGGGAAAGAAAAGCAGCAGGUUAAUACCCAGCUGUUCUGACGGUACCCAAAGAAUAAGCACCGGCUAACUUCGUG